rnacentral:lncRNA from 1 species
GCUCAAAAUUAACUUUAACAAAAGCGAAAUCUUAUGCUUUGGAAAGGCAAAAGAAGAGCAACACGCGUAUAGACAGCUAUUUGGUUGUGAACUAGGAUCACUUCCGUUUAGCUACCUCGGAAUACCUAUUCAUCAUAGGCGUCUCACAAAUAAAGAAUGGAAAUGUAUCGAAGAAAGAAUUGAGAAAAAAUUAAGCUGCUGGAAGGGUAAACUAAUGUCAUAUGGAGGGAGGCUUGUCUUAAUUAACUCGGUGUUAACAAGCUUACCUAUGUUUCUAUUAUCUUUCUU